rnacentral:rRNA from 1 species
GACGUAGGGCGCGAGCGUUGUCCGGAAUUAUUGGGCGUAAAGAGCUUGUAGGCGGUUUGUCGCGUCUGCUGUGAAAAUCCGGGGCUCAACCCCGGACUUGCAGUGGGUACGGGCAGACUAGAGUGUGGUAGGGGGAGACUGGAAUUCCUGGUGUAGCGGUGAAAUGCGCAGAUAUCAGGAGGAACACCGGUGGCGAAGGCGGGUCUCUGGGCCGUAACUGACGCUGAGGAGCGAAAGCAUGGGGGAGCGAACAGG